rnacentral:rRNA from 1 species
AAUCAACGCUGGCGGCGUGCCUAACACAUGCAAGUCGUGCGAGAAAGUUUCCUUCGGGAAGCGAGUAAAGCGGCGCACGGGUGAGUAACACGUAGGUAACCUACCUUUCAGUCCGGAAUAACCAGCUGAAAAGCUGGCUAAUGCCGGGUAAGACCACGACCUCUACGGGGGUCGCGGCCAAAGGCGGCCUCUUCAUGAAAGCUGAUGCUGAGAGAUGGGCCUGCGCACCA